GACGAACGCUGGCGGCGUGCCUAAUACAUGCAAGUUGAGCGAUGAAGCUUGGUGCUUGCACCAAUUUGAAGAGCAGCGAACGGGUGAGUAACGCGUGGGGAAUCUGCCUUUGAGCGGGGGACAACAUUUGGAAACGAAUGCUAAUACCGCAUAACAACUUUAAACAUAAGUUUUAAGUUUGAAAGAUGCAAUUGCAUCACUCAAAGAUGAUCCCGCGUUGUAUUAGCUAGUAGGUGAGGUAAAGGCUCACCAAGGCGAUGAUACAUAGCCGACCUGAGAGGGUGAUCGGCCACAUUGGGACUGAGACACGGCCCAAACCCCUACGGGAGGCAGCAGUAGGGAAUCUUCGGCAAUGGACGAAAGUCUGACCGAGCAACGCCGCGUGAGUGAAGAAGGUUUUCGGAUCGUAAAACUCUGUUGGUAGAGAAGAACGUUGGUGAGAGUGGAAAGCUCAUCAAGUGACGGUAACUACCCAGAAAGGGACGGCUAACUACGUG
rnacentral:rRNA from 1 species